CACGUAGGGCGCAAGCGUUGUCCGGAAUUAUUGGGCGUAAAGGGCGCGUAGGCGGUGCGGUAAGUCCGCAGUGAAAUCUCUGGGCUCAACUCAGAGUCUGCUGUGGAAACUGCCGUGCUUGAGUGUGGGAGAGGUGAGUGGAAUUCCUGGUGUAGCGGUGAAAUGCGCAGAUAUCAGGAAGAACACCCGUGGCUAAGGCGGCUCUCUAGUACGGUACUGACGCUGAGACGCGAAAGCGUGGGGAGCGAACAGG
rnacentral:rRNA from 1 species